rnacentral:rRNA from 1 species
CGAGCGAACAGACGAGGAGCUUGCUCCUCUGACGUUAGCGGCGGACGGGUGAGUAACACGUGGAUAACCUACCUAUAAGACUGGGAUAACUUCGGGAAACCGGAGCUAAUACCGGAUAAUAUAUUGAGCCGCAUGGUUCAAUAGUGAAAGACGGUUUUGCUGUCACUUAUAGAUGGAUCCGCGCCGCAUUAGCUAGUUGGUAAGGUAACGGCUUACCAAGGCAACGAUGCGUAGCCGACCUGAGAGGGCGAUCGGCCACACUGGAACUGAGACACGGUCCAGACUCCUACGGGAGGCAGCAGUAGGGAAUCUUCCGCAAUGGGCGAAAGCCUGACGGAGCAACGCCGCGUGAGUGAUGAAGGUCUUCGGAUCGUAAAACUCUGUUAUUAGGGAAGAACAAAUGUGUAAGUAACUAUGCACGUCUUGACGGUACCUAAUCAGAAAGCCACGGCUAACUACGUGCCAGCAGCCGCGGUAAUACGUAGGUGGCAAGCGUUAUCCGGAAUUAUUGGGCGUAAAGCGCGCGUAGGCGGUUUUUUAAGUCUGAUGUGAAAGCCCACGGCUCAACCGUGGAGGGUCAUUGGAAACUGGAAAACUUGAGUGCAGAAGAGGAAAGUGGAAUUCCAUGUGUAGCGGUGAAAUGCGCAGAGAUAUGGAGGAACACCAGUGGCGAAGGCGACUUUCUGGUCUGUAACUGACGCUGAUGUGCGAAAGCGUGGGGAUCAAACAGGAUUA